rnacentral:rRNA from 1 species
UACGUAGGGUGCAAGCGUUGUCCGGAAUUAUUGGGCGUAAAGAGCUCGUAGGCGGUUUGUCGCGUCUGCUGUGAAAUCCCGAGGCUCAACCUCGGGCUUGCAGUGGGUACGGGCAGACUAGAGUGCGGUAGGGGAGAUUGGAAUUCCUGGUGUAGCGGUGGAAUGCGCAGAUAUCAGGAGGAACACCGGUGGCGAAGGCGGGUCUCUGGGCCGAUACUGACGCUGAGGAGCGAAAGCGUGGGGAGCGAACAGG